CUAUAUCACAGGAUCUCUCCGCCUCUCCCUCAUUUGUUUUUUCUCUUCUCUUUGUCGUUUCACUUACUCUCUAUCUCCGGCCCCUCGCCUCCAUUGCCGAACCAGGUGACCUCGCAAAACCCCACUGCAACCGCCGCCGCCGUAGACGCCCUAGAUCCAAACAAGAAAUUGCCGCCUUGGACGACUCAGACCAAACUUAUAGUGCAGAUGCUUCCCUAAAGGCGUCGUGGUACAUAUGCCCAUAUAAAAAUAUUGCCAUCAAUACUCCGUUUGGUUCAAUGGAGACGUGACGACAUCGUAUGUGCAAAUUGGGAUUCUUCUCCAAAGGUAGCUGCCGGAUCUCACCCCCGUUAGAUCUGUUUGCCUCCUCUGAAAUUUGAUGCUGGAAUUUCGAAUUCCGGACCAUCUUCCGUUUGGUUCAUACGAUUUGAAUAUUUCUAUUACGUCGAGUUCCUUAUGGUUUUCAAUUAGACUUCUAAUUUUAUUUUUUCUGGACAUGUAAUAAAUAGAUUCUUUAAUUAUGAAAUGCAAUCAGGG
rnacentral:lncRNA from 1 species